UUUAGUUAGCCAUUUUGUAACUAAAUUUACGCGUAAUGUAACCAUGGUAAUUGCUUCAAUUUGUAAUCAAAUAUAGUGCCAAAUAUGGUGUCAGAUACAGUGCCAGAUAUUCCGAAGCCGGAGGCCCCACGCAUGGUUAAUAAAGGAAAUAACGAAGGAUUGUCUUCCAUGGAAACAGAGCUGAUCAUUGGAGUAGCGGUUGUCGGUGUCUGCUUCGUGUGCCUUGUAGUUGCGUUCAUUGUCGUAGCCAAGAUCCGUCAUGCCUCUAUACCCAUGCAGUGACACACCCUAACCCUAA